UACGUAGGGUGCAAGCGUUAAUCGGAAUUACUGGGCGUAAAGGGCGCGUAGGCGGCCUUCUAAGUCAGACGUGAAAUCCCUCGGCUCAACCGGGGAACUGCGUCUGAGACUGGAAGGCUUGAAUCCGGGAGGAGGGAUGUGGAAUUCCAGGUGUAGCGGUGAAAUGCGUAGAUAUCGAGAGGAACACCUGCGGCGAAGGCGGGUCUCUGG
rnacentral:rRNA from 1 species